GCAGAGCGCAGCACCGUUCCCGCCCGCACCUCUCCCUCCACACCUCCCCGCAAGCUGAGGGAUCCGGCUCCGGCCUCGGCCAGCCCAGAGAGGGGGCUCUCACGGUGCAGCUGCAGGCUGAAGGGCCCCUCAAGCGCGGCCAGAGGGGGCGCCGAGGCUGAGGAGGUGCCGAGACCAAGCGAGGGCUGCCAGUACGCUGUCAACUGUCACCAUCACUGGCCUUGCUUGCUCUUCGGCUGCUCAGACCCAAGGGGCAAGUUUCUCCAGAUUAUGAAGGCUGCAUGGAGUUCACCACCCUUUGCCUCGCGAUAUCAGUGGAGGAAGAACAGAGGCGCUGGGGUCGAGACAGAAUGGGGCCAGACCUCAGCUCCAGAACCUAUGACCUCAUAGGUUUCAGAGACCUGCGUUCCAGCCUGGCCUCUGCCUUUACUGUGUGGCCCUGGGCAGGUUCCCUAACCUCUCUGAAACUCAAGUUCCUUACCUCUAGAACAGGAGCAAUAAUAGGACCUGCCUCACGGGUUUGUGUAGAAUACAAUAGAGUGCAAAGUGUGCGACACAAGGCCCAGCACACAGUAGGUCUCAAUCAGUGGUCACACUUGUCACUAUCCUAUAGGAUGGGCCUUGGGCACACCUCCUAACUUUUCCAGCCUCAGGUGGCUCCUCUGUGAGAUCAGGAUUAUAAAGAUCUGCUUUUCAGGGUGGCUAUGAUUUGUUGAGAAAUAAAGUAUCUAUCACACCAUCA